rnacentral:piRNA from 1 species
UCAACAACGGGAAGUCCAUAUUUGAGGC